GAUAGAUGUCGUGAGGGAAGACAUGAGGGCAGUUGGUGUUAGAGAGGAGGAUGCAGGAGAUAGACUGAUGGUCCACUCAGCGUUUCGCACAACCCUGUGGUGCGGGGUUGUGACCUCUGGACAUGACCCUCAAACAUCUCAGACACCCGAAGUCACGUGUACAAGCCACAUGAGUACCUCAUUCUUUGACAAUGCUCUGUGACCU